rnacentral:lncRNA from 1 species
AUGCCCCCAAUUAUUAGAGAGUGGAUUGCCAACAGGUGGCAAAUCCUCAAUCCUUCCCAGAUGGGCAAACCAGGGAGGGAAGCCAGCGGGCAGUGGUUAUGUCAGGGAGUGUCCAUCUGGUGGGUUUCUGCAGGAGGUGGGGUCUUCCCUCGUCUGACUUUGAGGCUUUCUUUUCUUUUCUUUUCUUUUGUUUGGAGCCCAUUAGAAGGCUUUCAACCCACGUGCCUACUGUGUGCAAAGCCCUGCUCUGGUACCUCUGGGGAGACAGAUGACUCACAGGAAUUCUCAGAAGGCUUGCUGGGGCAUUGUCACAGGUCCCCUCAACACCAGUACAUUUUCCAAGAUGAGACGGAAGAUAAAAGAUCGGUUCUGCUCCUCCAGGCAAGGUGAUACAGAUUUUCCCGGGUUUUCUGACCAGUGAGGAAAGUGAUCCUAGAGAGAGAUCAGUACGAGCACCACCUCUAGUCCCAAUGGGAACAGCAGGUACCUGGGGGUUAGCUGGGUGGGGGGCGGGGUGGGUGGGUGCCUGGUGCAGUGUGUCCAUUAUGAUGGGGGCUCCUGGACACCCCCAUGAUCUCGCUGGAGCCCCACCCAUAGUACUGAUCUCUGGGUGAUUGACCUUGCCAGGGUUACAGCCUUGGCACAAAGUGCCCCAGGCCUAACAGGUGGUGCCGCUUUCUUAGGAGACUCUCCAAGGUAGGUUCCUAGGCCCACCCACACUCUCCCACCCUGGACACUUCUUGGACCUGCUCUGGACCUGUGGCCCUGUGGUCUCAGGUAGGUGACGUGACCCAUGUGGGUUUCCUUGUCUGCAUGAUGGUUGGGUGACGACGCAUCAUGGGUUCCACCAGCUUUUUCCCUCCCAUUGUGAAGGAGGCCACGCCAUACAGCUCCCCACCCCACCCCUGCUCUAUAGCAUCAGCAGGGCCUCACGACUCUGACUCCUUUCUCUGGCCAAGUAGAAGGAUAAGGCCCGCAGGAGUUAACUUCACACAGGUGAUCUGUCUGAGAUCAUGUUGGAGGCCUGGGAGAGCUCCACUUGGCCCAUUUCAUUACAGCCUGCUCGCGUUCACCUGAGAAAGGGGCCCGUUUUCAAAAUCAUGGCUACUUCUCUAAAUCAGCAGACAGCAGCCUGAAGAUCACCCGUAAAUGUCUGCUGCACUGAGGGCUGUUUUGGCUAAUGGAAAAAGGACACCAAGUUGAAGAUCCAUCCAGGUGUGACCUUGGGGGCUGUGGGCAUGUUGUGGUGUGUGAGGGGGUUGCUUAUCGUGUUAACCUUUUGCCCCCUUAUCUCUCUCUCCCCCAAGCCUUUCUGCUUUCAGUGUCCUUGGAGCCAUCAGCAGCUGUGUCCCCCACAAAGCCCUGACACUACUCUGUGUGGUACUACUGAGCCUCCUUAAUGUCCCUCCUUGCUGUGAAAUCUUAGUGCUUCAGCCUCUUCUUGAUGGGUAUCUCACCUUGCCCUUGAAGGAGAGCUUUGCUCAGAAAAUAGAGUCCUGGGAGGUAAGGUGUGGUCUUCACCCUCCAAUAGAACCCACCUAUACUUAAGGGUCUCCAUGUUGCAGGGUCUGCAGAUAUCAGUUAGACUGGGGUCCUGUCUGGGCCAGCAAUGGGCCUCUUAGAAAUACCUUAUCACAGCUGACCUUAGGUUCACGACUGGGCUUCUCUAAGAGGCCUGAUUAAUUCAUGGUGCCCCGUCACCCAUAGCCACCCCGAGACACGAGGAUUUACUGUACCAGUUUAUUGCCAAGCUGUAUUAGUUGAUAAGCAGGAAACUCCAGACCAUCUGUUUAAAAAUAAAAAGUUAACAGCGGCACA